rnacentral:rRNA from 1 species
GCCUAACACAUGCAAGUCGAGCGCGAACGAUCCCUUCGGGGAUCUAGUAGAGCGGCGAACGGGUGAGUAACGCGUGGGUAACCUGCCCUUUGGUGGGGAAUAACUCCGGGAAACUGGGGCUAAUGCCGCAUGAGCUCCGAGUCCUCGCGGGGAUUCGGAGGAAAGCAUGCCUCUGCUUCAAGCAUGCGCCAGAGGAGGGGCCCGCGUCCCAUUAGCUUGUUGGUGGGGUAAUGGCCUACCAAGGCGACGAUGGGUAGCCGGCCUGAGAGGGUGUCCGGCCACACUGGGACUGAGACACGGCCCAGACUCCUACGGGAGGCAGCAGUGGGGAAUAUUGCGCAAUGGGCGAAAGCAUGACGCAGCGACGCCUCGUGGGGGAUGACGGUCUUCGGAU